rnacentral:rRNA from 1 species
AAGACCUUGCGCUUUUGGAGCGGCCGAUGCCUGAUUAGCUUGUUGGUAAGGUAAAAGCUUACCAAGGCUUCGAUCAGUAGCUGGUCUGAGAGGACGGCCAGCCACACUGGGACUGAGACACGGCCCAGACUCCUACGGGAGGCAGCAGUGGGGAAUUUUGGACAAUGGGGGCAACCCUGAUCCAGCCAUGCCGCGUGAGUGAAGAAGGCCUUCGGGUUGUAAAGCUCUUUCAGCCGGAACGAAACGGUUACGGUUAAUACCCGUGAUUACUAACGGUACCGGAAGAAGAAGCACCGGCUAACUACGUGCCAGCAGCCGCGGUAAUACGUAGGGUGCGAGCGUUAAUCGGAAUUACUGGGCGUAAAGCGUGCGCAGGUGGUUUUGUAAGUCAGAUGUGAAAGCCCCGGGCUCAACCUGGGAACU